rnacentral:rRNA from 1 species
UUUUUGGGCUUGGUAAUUGGAAUGAGGGAGAGUUAAACGGACCAUCGAGUAUCCAUUGGAGGGCAAGUCUGGUGCCAGCAGCUGCGGUAAUACCAGCUCCAAUAGCGUAUAUUAAAGUUGUUGCAGUUAAAAAGCUCGUAGUUGGACUUGUGUGCGCUGUCCGCGGGUGGCCUGCGCCCAAAAGGGCGUUUCGGUUCGGCCCCGGUGGCGCCUUGAAAUCUGCAGCUGGGGGGACGUUGGCCUUAACUGGUCGGCGACCGCACGCCGGCUGCUCGGUUACUGUGAGAAAAUUAGAGUGUUCAAGGCAGGCAUUGGGUGCAAUUGAAUACAUUAGCAUGGAAUAAUAAAAUAUGGCUCCUGCCGUAUUUUGUUGGUUUUGACUGGUGGGAGUAAUGAUUGAUAGGGACGGUUGGGGGUGCUAGUAUUGAGCGGCCAGAGGUGAAAUUCAUGGAUUCGCUCAAGACUAACUUAUGCGAAAGCAUUCACCAAGGACGUCCUCUUUAAUCAACAACGAAAGUUGGGGGAUCGAAGACGAUCAGACACCGUCGUAGUCUCAACCAUAAACUAUGUCGACUUGGGAUCGGCGGUAGUUUUUUCAUUAAGACACUGUCGGGACCACGGGAGAAAUCAAAGUGUCUGGACUCUGGGGGAAGUAUGGUCGCAAGGCUGAAACUUGAAGGAAUUGACGGAAGGGCACCACCAGGAGUGGAGCCUGCGGCUUAAUUUGACCCAACACGGGGAAACUUACCAGGUCCAGAGAUGUAGAGGAUUGACAGAUUGAAGCUCUUUCUUGAUCACUUCGGUGGUGGUGCAUGGCCGUUCUUAGUUGGUGGAGUGAUUUGUCUGGUUAAUUCCGUUAACGAACGAGACCUCAGCCUGCUAGUGUAGUCGGCUGGAUUGCCUUUGGCGAUCCGUGAUUCCGACUUCUUAGAGGGACAAUCGACGCGCAGUCGAUGGAAGUUUGAGGCAAUAACAGGUCUGUGAUGCCCUUAGAUGUUCUGGGCCGCACGCGCGCUACACUGCUGGGCUCAGCGAGUUUUACUUGGCCGAGAGGCCCGGUUAAUCUUGUGAAAUCCCAGCGUGCUUGGGCUCGCCUCCUGCAACUGGAGGCGCCAACGAGGAAUUCCUAGUAGACGCAGGUCAUCAACCUGCAUCGAUUACGUCCCUGCCCUUUGUACACACCGCCCGUCGUUCCAUAAGAGUGAGGCAUCCGGUGAAUUCUCGGGAGAGCCUGGGCGUGGCCAGCAAUGGUCUGCUCGGGUUUGAACUUGCAUAAACUUGGUGCCUAUGAUUAGGG